CGUCGCUGGGGAGGCCGAAGCGGGGCCACCCGGCGGGAGGAUCGGCGCUCCAGGGUGUCGACGCUCGCACUGGGCAGGCGCAGGUAUUCGGUUGCAAAGAUUCUCCUCUGUGAUCUGCUCUUCAAAAUGUUCAGCACCCAUUCUUUCUCGUGACCCAUUUACAGUCCAACAAUGAGGAAACGUAUUCACAGAGGGCAGUGUGUUAUCUCUAUUGGCUCUAACAUGGAAUAUCAAACAGCUGUCUUGAUGACUUGUAUUUAAAGCUAUGGUGUCACUUUCCCAAAAGUAGGACAGAGACCAAAUGUCCUGCUGUGUUUGAUCUGGGAGCUGAAGCUGAAAGCAAGGAGCACAUCUUUUUUGAAUUCAAGAAGCAGGAAGAUACUUGAUUCAUGUGCAGGCAGAGGGUGGGGUUUGAGAAAGAACUGGGAAAAACAGCUGGGAUAAAAGAGGCAAGGCAGAAGAGCCAAGUUUGGAGACUUAAGAGAAAUAGGUAGAAAGGCAGAAAGGUCUGUGACUGCUGCAGGAACUUCUCCAAAGCCAUGAAUGGAAUCUAAGAUCCUUCACUUUCCCUUGUCAGCAAAGAGGCACAGAACCCUUCAGCAAGCGGGUGAAGCUCAGAAGGCCCACACACAGAGGGAGACCAUGGACGUUGUUCGUGAAAGGCAGUGGACUUGAAGUCCAGUCAUGAGAAUGUCUGUAUGUUCACUGAGCUUUUCCAAAAAAUUUUGUCUCAGGUGCUAUAGAACAAAAUUGAUGCCAGUGUGGUAUGACAUAGGGAAAUUUCUGGGCUUGUUAUAAAUACCUCUUAUGCCUGUCAAUCCAUUUUACAAGUGUUCUAGAAAGAAAUAGGCAAAAGUUAGUACACAAUGAAAUGGUUAAAGGUUAAAUUGAACAUAUGUCUUGCAUUUAAUAGAUGAAGCGUCUAAGGAAAAUAAAUUAAAACAUAUGAACCUUUAAAUCCAGAAGAUCUCUCUCUCGUUAAACUUUGCUUUUGGCAAAUGGGGA